UACGGGGGGGGCAAGCGUUGUUCGGAAUUACUGGGCGUAAAGGGCGCGUAGGCGGCCUUCUAAGUCGAGACGUGAAAUCCCUCGGCUCAACCGAGGAACUGCGUCUGAUACUGGAAGGCUUGAAUCCGGGAGAGGGAUGUGGAAUUCCAGGUGUAGCGGUGAAAUGCGUAGAUAUCUGGAGGAACACCGUGGCGAGGACGGCGAUCCUGGGACCGGUAUUGACGCUGAGGCGCG
rnacentral:rRNA from 1 species